rnacentral:rRNA from 1 species
AAACCUGAGAAACCCGAAAGUUCGAAUGAAAAGAUUCAAUAUUCUUCAAUUGGUUGUACAUUUACAUUGUGAUUAUGUGAUAGUUUUGUGUUAAUUUCUUUAUCCUUAACUGGAUUUUGAAUGUACAUAUUCUACACCACUUUGUUUAUGAACUAAAUACAACUAUGAAGGUAUGCACUUCUUUUCUAGUAGGACGUUGCGACCCAUUGAAUGUUAAUCUACGGCUACUCGUUAGAGCCUAUUCCUAUUUUACUUAAUUGUAUUUAUAUGGAAAUAGAUUUCUGAGUGUGUCCCGAAUAACUGUUCGAUGGUAUUAUAAAACCAUAAUAUUGGAUCGCCACUUUGUCUGGGCAUUUUGGUAUUCAUUCAAGUAUGUAAGGUAAUUUAAAUGUCAGGGGCUCUUGUACUGGCUUUGAAUCCUAACUACUGUUCGAGUGAAAUUUACUAUCAAAUAGUAUCCUUUUAUUGGUCAGCAACGCUGUUGCUUUGGGUACUUCCAGGAC